rnacentral:ncRNA from 1 species
AGCAAGGACAAGGGGUACUUGCUUUUUUAUCAAGGCAGGUUGAGAAAUACUCUCAUUAGCUGAUCUAGUUAAUACUAGCGUAGCGAGUCUUCUCUUUUUACUAU